GACGAACGCUGGCGGCGUGCUUAACACAUGCAAGUCGAACGGAAAGGCCCUGCUUUUGUGGGGUGCUCGAGUGGCGAACGGGUGAGUAACACGUGAGUAACCUGCCCUUGACUUUGGGAUAACUUCAGGAAACUGGGGCUAAUACCGGAUAGGAGCUCCUGCUGCAUGGUGGGGGUUGGAAAGUUUCGGCGGUUGGGGAUGGACUCGCGGGUUAUCAGCUUGUUGGGGGGGUAGUGGCUUACCAAGGCUUUGACGGGUAGCCGGCCUGGGAGGGUGACCGGGCACAUUAGGACUGAGCUACGGACCAGAAUCCUACGGGAGGCAGCAGUGGGAAAUAUUGCACAAUAGGCCGAAGCCUGAUGCGACAACGCCGCGUGCGGGAUGACGGCCUUCGGGUUGUAAACCGCUUUCGCCUGUAACGAAGCGUGAGUGACGGUAAUGGAUAAAGAAGCACCGGCUAACUACGUG
rnacentral:rRNA from 1 species